GUUGCGAUGGCCGAGUGGUAAGGAAACAUUGUCGUUCGAUCCGACAUUCACAUCGAAACUCUGCGCUUACAUGUAAACGUUCUGUCAGGUCUAAGGCGCAAGAUUAAGGCUCUUGUCUUCAUUGGCGGGGGUUCAAAUCCCCCUCGCAACA
rnacentral:tRNA from 1 species